UAAUGCUCAUCCAUAAAAAAAAAAGUAAAAAUAUAUGACCACAACGAGUGCUUCUCCCAUAUCUUUUACCUCCGACUAAGCCGGGUCCUCCAGCCCACUUGUGGAUAUCCUGGCGCUCUUGAUGGGGGCAAAAGUCUGUUUUAAACCUUGUCUUCGUUUGACCCAGCGAAUUCGAACCCCAACCUUCAGAUCCCUGAAAUCGGCACCCCCACCUCUCUAAUCCCAGUUCUUUGCGCCCUUAGAGCCGUUCCCAAAUAGGGAUUCGCUGAUGUAUGACCGGGAUUACUGAAUCAGCUCUGGGGCGUGGGUCCAAGUGAUUUACGCAUGGGGAUAUGUCGCUGGGCCGGGCGAGCUCGCCUCCCACCUUCUUCCCUGACGGAUCAACUUCUCCCCUUCUCACCUGACGCCUAAACUUCUCCUCUGUGGCGGCGAUGGCGAACGGCGGCUGAUCGCAGCGACCUCCGACGAGCAGUCCUCCGAAAAAAGAGCAGGAUUUUGUUAUUCAGAACAUGGAUCCAACAGACGUGUUGGCUGUUAGAUUUCACUUUGGGGGCGAGUUCAUACGGAUUGGAGGGGUUGCUGAAGUAUACGUUGAGUAUACCAUCCAGAGUGGCUACAAGUUCAACAACUGGAAGAGGAAGAGGAGUUGGGAGAGGGACUAGAGCUGGAAGAGGGACUGGAGUUGGAAGAGGGACAGAAUCAGGAUCUAGAUUCAUGUCCUAUUUUACAGCUAGUGGAAUUACUAGAGGUGUUUGAUGAUGUGGUUAUUUUGGAAAAUGUCAGAAUGAUGUACUGGACCUUGGUAGUUUUUGUGUGAACAUGGACCUUGUGGUACUAUAAAUGACCACUAUUUAUGUUCAAUGUUGGCUGAUGCAGCAUGAUCCUUAAGUGCAGUGCAUUUGUACUGUAAAUUGGCAAAUUCAGACUUUUGCACUGAUAAAUACAGAAUUUUGUUGUAAAAA